rnacentral:rRNA from 1 species
AACGUAGGUGGCAAGCGUUAUCCGGAUUUACUGGGCGUAAAGGGUGUGCAGGCGGGUGGGCAAGUGGGGUAUGAAAUAUCCCGGCUCAACCGGGAAGGGUUAUGCCAGACUGGCCAUCUUGAGUACUGCAGGGGAGACUGGAAUUCCUGGUGUAGCGGUGAAAUGCGCAGAUAUCAGGAGGAACACCGGUGGCGAAGGCGGGUCUCUGGGCAGUAACUGACGCUGAGGAGCGAAAGCGUGGGGAGCGAACAGG